rnacentral:rRNA from 2 species
GACGAACGCUGGCGGCGUGCCUAAUACAUGCAAGUCGAACGAACUCUGGUAUUGAUUGGUGCUUGCAUCAUGAUUUACAUUUGAGUGAGUGGCGAACUGGUGAGUAACACGUGGGAAACCUGCCCAGAAGCGGGGGAUAACACCUGGAAACAGAUGCUAAUACCGCAUAACAACUUGGACCGCAUGGUCCGAGUUUGAAAGAUGGCUUCGGCUAUCACUUUUGGAUGGUCCCGCGGCGUAUUAGCUAGAUGGUGGGGUAACGGCUCACCAUGGCAAUGAUACGUAGCCGACCUGAGAGGGUAAUCGGCCACAUUGGGACUGAGACACGGCCCAAACUCCUACGGGAGGCAGCAGUAGGGAAUCUUCCACAAUGGACGAAAGUCUGAUGGAGCAACGCCGCGUGAGUGAAGAAGGGUUUCGGCUCGUAAAACUCUGUUGUUAAAGAAGAACAUAUCUGAGAGUAACUGUUCAGGUAUUGACGGUAUUUAACCAGAAAGCCACGGCUAACUACGUGCCAGCAGCCGCGGUAAUACGUAGGUGGCAAGCGUUGUCCGGAUUUAUUGGGCGUAAAGCGAGCGCAGGCGGUUUUUUAAGUCUGAUGUGAAAGCCUUCGGCUCAACCGAAGAAGUGCAUCGGAAACUGGGAAACUUGAGUGCAGAAGAGGACAGUGGAACUCCAUGUGUAGCGGUGAAAUGCGUAGAUAUAUGGAAGAACACCAGUGGCGAAGGCGGCUGUCUGGUCUGUAACUGACGCUGAGGCUCGAAAGUAUGGGUAGCAAACAGGAUUAGAUACCCUGGUAGUCCAUACCGUAAACGAUGAAUGCUAAGUGUUGGAGGGUUUCCGCCCUUCAGUGCUGCAGCUAACGCAUUAAGCAUUCCGCCUGGGGAGUACGGCCGCAAGGCUGAAACUCAAAGGAAUUGACGGGGGCCCGCACAAGCGGUGGAGCAUGUGGUUUAAUUCGAAGCUACGCGAAGAACCUUACCAGGUCUUGACAUACUAUGCAAAUCUAAGAGAUUAGACGUUCCCUUCGGGGACAUGGAUACAGGUGGUGCAUGGUUGUCGUCAGCUCGUGUCGUGAGAUGUUGGGUUAAGUCCCGCAACGAGCGCAACCCUUAUUAUCAGUUGCCAGCAUUAAGUUGGGCACUCUGGUGAGACUGCCGGUGACAAACCGGAGGAAGGUGGGGAUGACGUCAAAUCAUCAUGCCCCUUAUGACCUGGGCUACACACGUGCUACAAUGGAUGGUACAACGAGUUGCGAACUCGCGAGAGUAAGCUAAUCUCUUAAAGCCAUUCUCAGUUCGGAUUGUAGGCUGCAACUCGCCUACAUGAAGUCGGAAUCGCUAGUAAUCGCGGAUCAGCAUGCCGCGGUGAAUACGUUCCCGGGCCUUGUACACACCGCCCGUCACACCAUGAGAGUUUGUAACACCCAAAGUCGGUGGGGUAACCUUUUAGGAACCAGCCGCCUAAGGUGGGACAG